CUUCGGGGUGUGACUGCGUACCUUUUGUAUAAUGGGUCAGCGACUUAUAUUCUGUAGCAAGGUUAACCGUAUAGGGGAGCCGGAGGGAAACCGAGUCUUAAUUGGGCGUUAAGUUGCAGGGUAUAGACCCGAAACCCGGUGAUCUAGCCAUGGGCAGGUUGAAGGUUGGGUAACACUAACUGGAGGACCGAACCGACUAAUGUUGAAAAAUUAGCGGAUGACCUGUGGCUGGGGGUGAAAGGCCAAUCAAACCGGGAGAUAGCUGGUUCUCCCCGAAAGCUAUUUAGGUAGCGCCUCGUGAAUUCAUCUCCGGGGGUAGAGCACUGUUUCGGCUAGGGGGCCAUCCCGGCUUACCAACCCGAUGCAAACUGCGAAUACCGGAGAAUGUUAUCACGGGAGACACACGGCGGGUGCUAACGUCCGUCGUGAAGAGGGAAACAACCCAGACCGCCAGCUAAGGUCCCAAAGUCAUGGUUAAGUGGGAAACGAUGUGGGAAGGCCCAGACAGCCAGGAUGUUGGCUUAGAAGCAGCCAUCAUUUAAAGAAAGCGUAAUAGCUCACUGGUCGAGUCGGCCUGCGCGGAAGAUGUAACGGGGCUAAACCAUGCACCGAAGCUGCGGCAGCGAACGUAUCACCCAAGACAACUUUACGGAGUUGACGAUUGACGGAGCGAAGCGACGUCAAAGCGUUCAUUAAAGUCGAGUUGGCUUAGGGAUACGUUCGUUGGGUAGGGGAGCGUUCUGUAAGCCUGUGAAGGUGUGUCGUGAGGCAUGCUGGAGGUAUCAGAAGUGCGAAUGCUGACAUAAGUAACGAUAAAGCGGGUGAAAAGCCCGCUCGCCGGAAGACCAAGGGUUCCUGUCCAACGUUAAUCGGGGCAGGGUGAGUCGACCCCUAAGGCGAGGCCGAAAGGCGUAGUCGAUGGGAAACGGGUUAAUAUUCCCGUACUUGGUGUUACUGCGAAGGGGGGACGGAGAAGGCUAUGUUGGCCGGGCGACGGUUGUCCCGGUUUAAGCGUGUAGGUGUGUGUUCCAGGUAAAUCCGGUU
rnacentral:rRNA from 1 species